CAGUCGCCACGGUAAUACGUAGGGUGCAAGCGUUAAUCGGAAUUACUGGGCGUAAAGCGUGCGCAGGCGGUUAUGUAAGGCAGAUGUGAAAUCCCCGGGCUCAACCUGGGAAUUGCAUUUGUGACCGCAUGGCUAGAGUGUGUCAGAGGGGGGUAGAAUUCCGCGUGUAGCAGUGAAAUGCGUAGAUAUGUGGAGGAAUACCGAUGGCGAAGGCAGCCCCCUGGGAUAACACUGACGCUCAUGCACGAAAGCGUGGGGAGCAAACAGGAUUAGAUACCCCUGUAGUCCCUGUCUCUUAUAC
rnacentral:rRNA from 1 species